AAAUUGUAACCUUCUCAUCAGGGAAAGCAUGGGAAUCAUCUUACGUUUAAGAUGAUUCCCAUGCUUUCCCUGAUGAGAAAUUUACAAUU
rnacentral:pre_miRNA from 1 species